rnacentral:lncRNA from 1 species
UUUUUUUGUUUUUUUGUUUUUUUUUGCUUUUUAGGGGCUGCACCUGAAGCAUAAGGAGGUUCCCAGGCUAGGGGUCAAAUCCGAGCUGCAGCUGCUGGCCUACACCACAGCCACUCCAUCUCUGGAUCUGAGCCACAACUCCAACCUACAGCACAGCUCAUGGCAACGCCAGGUCCUUAGCUCACCGAGUGAGGCCAGAGUUUGAACCCACAUUCUCAUGGUCUUCUAGUCAGGUUUGUUACCGCUGAGCCAUGACAGGAACCCCUACAGCAAAAGUAAUUUAAUACUUCUGUUUUUGGAGUUCCUACUGGGGCUCAGCAGUUUGAGAAUCUGACUAGCAUCCAUGAGAAUGCAGGUUCAAUCCCUGGCCUCAAUCAGUGGGUUAAGGACCUGAGGUUGCCACAAGCUGUGGUGUAGGUCAGAUGCAGCUUGGGUCUGCCGUUGCUGUGGAUGUGGUGUAAGCUAGCAGCUGUAUAUCUGAUUUGACCCCAGCCUGGGAACUUCCAUAUGCCGUAAGUGUGGCCCUAAAAAAAAUAAAAUUAAAAAUACUCCUAUUUUUUUAUUCAAAUAUAAUGAACAUAUUCUAAAAUCUUGACAUACAGAAAGUUCAAAGAACUGGGAUUUCUCUCAAACAGAUGAAUUCCAAGUAAAAAAGUAAUAGUUGGUAGAUAUUUUUAAUGUACUUGUGCCAUUUAAUAUGUCAAAGCUAUCUUUGCAGCUUAAUAAAUUUACAGGUACAUUGGAUUCCACUGUUUGGAUGUAUUACUCUCCAUUUAACCCAUCACCGUCUCAUGGGUGUUUAUACUGCUUCCAAUAUCCAAUAGUUCAAUUCUAGAACAUCCUUGAAAAUACAGUUUUACACCUGCUCAACUAUCCUAUCAGAAUCCAUUCCUAGCAGUGAAAUUGCUGAGUCAAAGGUAACACAUGUUACAUUUUUAUAUGUAUUGUCAAACUCUCCUCAGAAAGUUUCCACCAAUUUAUCUCACCAAAAGCAUGUGAAAGCCCAUUUCCCACCCUCUUACUAAUACUGCGACGUCUACAUUUUUUUUACCCUUUGCAGAUACCACAGCCAACGUACGUUAAAUCAUGUUUUAAUUUGCAUAUUCUUUCUAGUGAGAUUAAAUAUGUUUCAAUAGGUUUAUUGCCUGCCUUUAAAACAGCAGAUAUAGCGUGCCAUUUUGCUAACAUCCUGAGUCUAUGUCCACACAGUCUUAUCUAUGUCUCUCUGUGUGGUCAUAUGUAAAGCCAUAAGGAAUGAUAUCCAUCCACUGUUAACAAGUGCCUAUAUCUGGCCUAGUGGGCUUUCAGGUGAUUUUUUUUUUUUAAGUUGUGAGAUCUUACAAGUACCACUCUUUCAAUAAGUAGCAAAAAAAUAAAGCAAUUUUCAUUAAAAAAAAAAAACAACUUUAAGUUUCUAGGAUACAUUUUGUGCAAGCAUUUAAGGUCAUCCCAACACUGAGGUAAAACCCUGAUACUGUCAGUGAGACACCAGGACGUCCAGCGAAAUCCGUAGGUUUUCAUUUAUUCUCCACGACUGAACUUAAGAACCCCCAUUGCACCACAGUCUGCUUUUACUCAUUUUGGUCCUUUCUCAUGGUCGGGCCUAGGUGCCAGGCCCUCGCAGAGACAGAAGACCCAGCCCUACCCAGCCCUUCCCUUAAGGCUUAGUCAUUCAGGAUCUCCCCAUUGGGAGACUCUAGGGUCCCGAACACAGCAGAUGUGAGGGGAGCUUACAUAAUAGCAGAUGUACAUUGAAGCCUCAUGAAGCGCUGGGUCCUGUUCCAAGUCCUCACUGCUAUCCUGAGAUAGGCUCUGGUAUUUUCUCAAUGUAACUGAAGAAGAAAGUGAUGUACAGAGAGCUGCACUAACUUGCCCAAGGUCACACAGCUAAGACCCAGAGGUAUUCCGUCUAAAAUCACUCACUCAUGGUUCCACUCUCUUCUGCUUUUAUUUCUUUAGCAGACACCCAGUGAGGAGUGUUUGUUCCUGGAGAGGCUGGAGGAAAACCAUUACAAUACCUACACAUCCAAGAAGCACGCAGAGAAGAACUGGUUCGUUGGCCUCAAGAAGAAUGGAAGCUGCAAACGCGGUCCUCGGACUCACUAUGGCCAGAAAGCCAUCCUGUUUCUCCCCCUGCCAGUAUCCUCGGAUUAAAGAAAUGACCUGGGUGCUGACCACGCUGGAGGAGCCUGAGGGGUCUGCACCCGGGUGACGCCAGAUGAUGCCCUUGACCAUUGGCUGCGCUAAGCCCUGGCCCACAGAGCCUGAAUUUGUAACUCGCUUCUAAAUGCCCAGCUCAUCUUUUUUUUGGUAGAGCCCUUCACCCUGGCACAGUUUGGAACAGAGGGACCAAAUGGCUUUUAGGGGCCUACUGGCUGGCCAGUCGGGUCUGGUUUGGAAAUCCAGCUGCCUCUGGGCAUUCACUGCCAGCUGCAGCUCUCAACAUAAAGGUGGGGCCGAGUGAAAUGUGAGCUGGGGGUCGCCAAGUGGGUGAGGAGGUAACUGCCUACAAUUCCCUCCUCAGAGUAAACCCCACCCGAGGGUCCCCCAGAUGUCUGGCGUGACUCCAUGUCAUCCUUUCAAUACUCUGAGAAGCUGAGCAGAGAAGCCUGUGGCAGCAUUAGAGGAGGGCAGCUUUCCAUGGGUGGAAACAGGAAUGAUGAAAUCCCCUCUCAGGAACAGAAGGGAUUAACAAGGCAAGGCUGGAUUCUAGUGGAUGCCUUAGAAGAACAGGAUCUCAAUGCCCAAUAAAUGACCUGGGCGGCUCAGGCACCAGAGCUGAGAAGGAGGGGGCUCAGGCACAGGAGUGCGGAAGGAAGGCACGGCCUUGGGAGUUGAUGUGAUCCCCAAGGCUAUUCAGCAGCAGGAAGCCCCUGGAGGAGGUCAGGUGCAGAGCAGAAGUGCGUUCUUGACCAAAGGGUUGGCGAAUUCACUCGGGCUGGGGGAGUGGGUGUGUGAGGGCUAAGAAGGAAGGGGAAAUGAGCUAAGAGGAUGAUUCUAGAAGUGCGAGGCAAAGAGAAAGGGCUGCCAUGACCAGCGCCUGACCACCAGGAGGCAGAGACUUUGGGGACCGGGGCAGUGUGCAGACAUCUCCUUUGACUGCAGAUUCUGGUUCAGUGGGUCUGGGUGGGGUUUUUUCCCCUAUUUCUAAUAAGCUCCCUCCCAGGCGCUGGAGAUGCUGCCUCCCCACCCCCACCCUAUAUAAACCACAAGGUCUCCAGGUGUUAAAAUGAAAGGGGCUCAAACACCAACUAUCCCCAGCCACACCCUUCAAUAUCCCUCUAAUCCUCCUGCACUCCGGCAGCAUCAGCAGUUCUGCCUGUGUCCUGUGUUGGGAGCAUGGCUUUAAGGCGCUUUGGCCCAAUGCCUAUACAAUGCCCAUUGAGAAGAUACACAAAAGCAUCCUUCGAAAAUGUUAAACCCUUGCAAACAGCUUUUCCCAAGAAGCCAUUUGAGUUCCGGUGACUUUGCAUAAACACGCUUCCUGCUUAAGUAAACCUGACCCGAGUGGCUAGCUACUUAGAAACAUUGUUCAUCUCUGACAUGAUACUGUUGCCAUGCGAGGACAUUUAAUAAGCCAUUUAAAUUUACUGUGAGCCUGUACCUUUUUGUCACAUUUAAAAGUAGAUAGCUCAAAGGCAGUUCAGAGAGCAUUCAGUCACUGAGAAUGAUAAUAAAUAAUAAUGUACAAUAAGCUCAAUUAUCUACUCCUUAGACUACAUUUGCCUAUGAAAGGAGAUUUUUCUGUUUUCCACUGUGCUGUUAACAAUUACCCCUUGAAAACGGGGACUCUUAAGCAAUGACAUAAUUGUAGAUUAGAAGUGAUAAGAGGGUUAGCUCGUGUUUUAUAAGGAAGCCAUUGUUAAUUGAAAGGUAAUUCCUCAGUCACUGAGCUGUAUUUCGAAAGGAAGGAGAACACCAACGUGUUGAAGUGACAGCGCAGGUGCGGAACUGAACUAACACCAACGAUACCACUCUGCAUUUGUACCGCCAAACAUGUCAUAACUUUUUUGGGUUUUGUAGCUUGGAUGAGACAGCUUUAUUUGGGUAAAUCUUUGUAGGGAAGGUGGGGCUAGUGCAAUGUGGCUCAACAUCUCUUUACUAUGAAGAUUUGGCCAGAAAAAGGUACCCAGAGAGGAAAUACAAGAUAUUUAUAAAGGCUCAUGAUUUUUAGCGUAUGAAUCAAAUUCAAGGAUGACAUUGGCCAACAAAAAUGAAAUACUGUGGCUAACAGUGAGCCGGAAGUCUGUGAUUGCAGAGACGCAAAGCAUUGAAAGCAAAUAGUCCUGUGACCUUGACCACCUCGACCCAGUCGUUGUUUGUGUGUUUGGUUCAGGAAUGUGUAGGUGCCAAUGGUGUGCCAGGCACCGUGCUGGGUACUAGGGCCCUUGGGAACCUUGUCUGUCUGGUUUGCUGCUGUCUUCUCUCCCAGGGCAUCAUAUUUAUGACGAAAGAUGCUGGGGAUUCAUUUCUUUCAGUCAAGUAAGAACAGAGAUGUCGGAGGUUCCUGCUGAAUGAGCAGCAAGGCCCAGAAUCCAGAGUUUUUGGAAGAAUUAGCAACCCCCAGCCUAAGAUAAUCCCCCUACUGAAGUUUCAGAGGACACGGAAAAGGUAAACCUAACAUUCCAGCUGCAGAACCAUGUCAGGUCAGGGUAACUGCUUUCAAAUCAGAAAAAAGGGCUGUUCGGUCUUGUCAGAAGAAGGGGGUGGCAGCUCCCCGCUCCGUUUGGAACAUACUCCCAUUCCUUCCUUCAACACGGAGCCGUCCUGUGGCUCUCUCUCUCCCUGAGUAUGUCCUGGAGCCAUCUGCCUGUCAGAUGCCUCUCAUGUGGAUUCAUGUCCAGGCCAGCCGUUAUGAGUUGCCUGACAUUCUGUACAAAGCAUCAGGAGCGUAUAUGCUUUUGAUUGUUUUCAAUGGGAAGGAGGAGAUGGCAGGAAUCUGUUUCCUUGGAAGGGGGGAUAGGUAACGCCUCCUCAGGCCAACCUUGUGUACUUAACAGACUGGAGCAUCUCGUGGUACUGAAGACGAGGGUCCUUGUUUUGCAUUGGAGGAGACGGAGCCCAGGUCCUCAGACUUGGAGAACGAGCUGUUCAACCCCCUGAGCUCCUGGGCUGCAAAGCAGACCUCUGAAGAAGAUGACUGUCAUUUUAUAUCACUGUUUUUUGCACCUUAAAAAUAUUAAUAAAUGUUCCACUUACAGGUGACAAUGUCUGAGUUUCUGAGCAUCACUGGGUUGCAUCUUCCUAUGGAAGGACUUUGCCAGCAUCCCUGAGAUGUGGCUGCUUUGUUUUCUAGCUCGUUACCAGACAGGAGACUUUUAAGGCUGAUAAGAAAAACAUUUUUCAUUUUGUUUGGAAACCUAAGGCCAUACUAAUGCUUCUCCAGGGAUCCUUAGGAAGUUUGCCCCAUCAAGAGCCAAGGACCAUAACUAACCCAGCUGACACUAUUUCUUCAUUGUAGCAUGUGAAAUUAUGCUACAAUUGGAGAGCUGACCAGCCUGUGCUUUGGCAAAGACAUAGUGACCUGAAAAAAAAAAAUCUAAGGACUUAUAAUUUUAAGUCAGUAGCAACAGGUGCGUCUAUCUCCAAAGCCUUGAUGUGGGGCUAGAAGUUUGCCCAUUGGAUUUUCUGAAAUUAUCAUCACAUUAAAAAAACGUCUCCUUCAAUAAACUUUUUCAUCUUGUGAUGCUUUUUUCUGGCAGAACCAGAUCACAUAUGUGCAACACGUAAACACAUGCACAUGUGUGCAUCUAUAAAAAAUAGUUGGCUGGUGUUUGCCCACUCAGCUAAUUACAUAUCACAACCAAUCCCUCCUUUUCCUUUUAAAGUUGCCUAAAGCAUGGAGCUCCUGUCAUGGUUCGGUGAUUAACAAAUCCAACUAGGAUCCCUGAGGAUGCAGGUUUGAUCCGUGGCCUCGCUCAGUGGGUUAAGGAUUCAGUGUUGCCAUGAGCUGUGGUGUAGUUUGCACAUGGGGCUC